CAUCUUUUCGUGGCCGCAAUCGCACACUAUAUUGCACUUUGCCGGCUCCGGUCGGCUAUGGCGAUACAGGAUAGUCGUAAUAAACCUAUCGGACCCGGGGGCGGUACCCGGCGCCUCCACCAAAGCCCGGCGGUUCCGUCUUGAAAUGGGACAGCCGGGUUUCGGCGGGGGCGAAACAGGAUCGACGAGGGUGUAAAGGGCUGGUCUUCGCUCGGCAUGGUACCACCGUCAUCGGGCCAAACCUAUAGUUGCGAAUGACAACUAUGCUCCGGUUGCUCAGGCUGCGUAAGGCAGUCUGAAAUGCCGAAAUCAAGCCCUGGCGGUUAGCCCCGUCAGGCGGGGUUCCGGGGCACCUGGCAACAGAAGCCCCACCUU
rnacentral:tmRNA from 1 species